rnacentral:rRNA from 1 species
AAUGGCCUAACGGCUGAACCAGCAACUUGGAAGAAUGUAAAACGAUUAUAUCGUAUAAAAUUCUGGAUAAAAACUGAUAAUGACAAUUGUUUAUCUAUAAGUCUUGUCUAAAUUACGUGCCAGCAGACGCGGUAAUACGUAAAAGACUAGUGUUAUUCAUCUUCAAUGGGUUUAAAGGGUACCUAGACGGAAAAUAAAGCCUAAUAAGGAACUAAUUUUCUAGAGUUUAAUAAGAGAAGGUAGAACUUGUGGAGUAGAGUUGAUAUUCUUUUAUACUGUUAAGACUGAUAACGGCGAAGGCAACCUUUUAGAAAAAA